GACGAACGCUGGCGGCGUGCUUAACACAUGCAAGUCGAACGGAAAGGCCCUGCUUUUGUGGGGUGCGCGAGUGGCGAACGGGGGAGUAACACGUGAGUAACCUGUCCUUGACUUUGGGAUAACUUCAGGAAACUGGAGCUAAUAUCGGACAGGAGCUCCUGCUGCAUGGGGGGGGUGGGAAAGUUUCGCCGGUGGGGGAUGGACACGCGGCUUAGCGGCUUGUUGGUGGGGUGGUGACUUACCAAGGCUUCGACGGGUAGCCGGCCUGAGAGGGUGACAGGCCACAUUGGGCCUGAGGUACGACCCAGAGUCCUACUGGAGGCAGCGGUGGGAAAUAUUGCACAAUGGGCCGCGGGCUGAUGCAACGACGCCGCGUGCGGGAUGACGGCCUUCGGGUUGUAAACCGCUUUCGCCUGUGACGCAGCGUGAGUGACGGUAAUGGGUAAAGAAGCACCGGCUAACUACGUG
rnacentral:rRNA from 1 species